rnacentral:rRNA from 1 species
UACGUAGGGAGCAAGCGUUGUCCGGAAUCAUUGGGCGUAAAGCGCGCGUAGGUGGCCUCAUAAGUCCGCUGUGAAAGUCAAAGGCUCAACCUUUGAAAGCCGGUGGAUACUGUGAGGCUAGAGUACGGAAGAGGCGAGUGGAAUUCCUGGUGUAGCGGUGGAAUGCGCAGAUAUCAGGAGGAACACCAAUAGCGAAGGCAGCUCGCUGGGACGGUACUGACGCUAAGGCGCGAAAGCGUGGGGAGCGAACAGG